CCUACGGGAGGCAGCAGUGGGGAAUAUUGCGCAAUGGGGGAAAGCCUGAUGCAGCAACGCCGCGUGAGUGAAGAAGGAUCUCGGUAUGUAAAGCUCUAUCAGCAGGGAAGAAAAUGACGGUGCCUGACUAAGAAGCCCCGGCUAACUACGUGCCAGCAGCCGCGGUAAUACGUAGGGGGCAAGCGUUAUCCGGAUUUACUGGGUGGAAAGGGAGCGUAGACGGCGCAGCAGGUCCGGAGUGAAAGCCCAUGGCUUAACCAUGGUACUGCUCUGGAAACUGGGGAGCUUGAGUGCGGGAGGGGCAGGCGGAAUUCCUAGUGUAGCGGUGAAAUGCGUAGAUAUUAGGAGGAACACCGGUGGCGAAGGCGGCCUGCUGGACCGUAACUGACGUUGAGGCGCGAAAGCGUGGGGAGCAAACAGGAUUAGAUACCCGUGUAGUU
rnacentral:rRNA from 1 species